CCAGCAGAUUUCUUUGGCAUUCUGUCCACCUCCAUAUUCAUUGAUCUAUAUAUCUCACUGUUGUGUAAAUGUGUAAUUAGGGUUUAUUAGUUUGAUAAGAAAAAGAGAAAUAAUCUAGUGCAAGAUUUUCUUUUGUUUUUCUUGUGUGUGUAAUCUGUGUUUAGUUAGAGUGUGGAGGUGGGCAUACUGUCAAUGGAGCUCUGUUGG
rnacentral:pre_miRNA from 1 species